rnacentral:pre_miRNA from 1 species
CAACUACUCCCUCUGUCCCAAAUUUCUUGUCUUAGAUUUGUCUAGAUACAGAUGUAUCUAAUACUAAAAUGUGACUUGAUACAUCCGUAUCUAGACAAAUCUAAGACAAGAAUUUUGUGACGGAGGGAGUACUUU